rnacentral:lncRNA from 1 species
GGGCACCUGUAAUCCCAGCUACUCAGCAGGCUGAGGUUGCUAGGAGAAAUGAAUGAAAUGAUACAAGUAAGGUAGAAAGCAGAGUGCUUUCUACAAGCCAAGAAGUGGCCCCCCAACAGAUACCAAGCUCUGGACCUCCUGGUGCCUUGAUUUUGGACUUCCCAGCCUUUUUCAGACCUGUGAGAAAGGUCCGCCGCAUCUUGGAAGGAAACUUCAAAGCUCAUUUAAAGUCAGCCUCUCACAUAGCCCUGCUGGUCUAACUUUCUUCUGAAUGUGAUUUCAGAAGUAAAACCAGGCCAGGGGCUGGGACUCAGGUGAGUCUCACUGACCGUGACCUCUGGAGAGUCAACUGAAAUGGAGAGACAAAUACCAAGGAGAUAUCAGGAAGAAUAUUGUCCCCAGUAAAUACCAAGUCACAUCAGGAAGAAUAUUGUGGAGAGAGAGGUAAAGAAUCAGGAUGGAAACAGAAAAUAGGCCGAACAAUGGCCAAGCGUCAAAAUCCUACGUCAGGACAGUGCUAGGACUGCUUUUUUCUAUAUCAGACACGUGGGCUCCUGCUGUGUCUUCCUGGAAAGCAGAGGCCAAGGAUGGAGCAGACCAAGAGGAUGCCAGGAAAAAUCACAAAGAAGCCCAGAAAGCACAGCUGGAAGCCAAGAACCCUAUUUUUGGUUUGUGUGGGUGGAAGGUGAGGGACAACAUAUAGUGACCAACAGGAUUCUUCAUUUGAAAGAGAAUGGAGUACAUCAGACCUGUGUAUUUAGGUGAAGUAUGAUAAACAUCAUCAUACUUCAAAGAUUAUGAACAUCAAAGAUUAUGGAAAGGAACAUGACUGCUUAGUUUAUUCCAUUACCAGUGAUCUGCUUGUUUGUUCAUUUGCUUACCCAUCCAUUCAUUUAUUCAUUCAUUCCUCCAUCCAUUCUCUUUCACUUAUUCUACAAUCAUGAUUGUAUGCCUACCAUAUCGCUAGAGAGAGGGCAGGAAAAGAUCCAAGGAUGUGAAUACAAUCUUCUGCUUCAUGAUGAGAGCUAAAGGAAUCUGUAAAGACUUUGUCUUUUUCAUUUUUCUCUCUCCUACAUAGACCCUGGAAAAUGUUUUAUUUCUUAUAAUUUGCCUGAGGUUUACUCAUCCACUACCAGAGCUCUGAAAACACUCUUCAGAACACUAUUUUAAAAUAAUGACAAUGACAAUAAUAGAUAACAUAUAUUCAGUGUUUUUUGUAUGUGAAGCAAUGUAAUAACCAUUUAAAAUGAUUGUAACUAUACUUUAUAAGAGUAUGAUGAAACAGGCACUAUUAAAAUGCUAGUUUUUCACACAGCUAAUAUGAGAGAGAGCUGGGAUUUGGAGCCUCCAUUCAUGGCCAUUAUAUGGUCUGUCUAAUGAAUGAAAUGUUUGACCUUAGAGAAAACUUGAAAUGCAUAGUUUUCUUUGCUGACUUGAAUGAUAUAAGUUUAAAAAUCCGAUAGUGGUUGCUAGUUGAAAAUUCCUAUUCCUUGGGAAACUGUUGAAAGUCUGUUUAGUACUAACCCCCCUCAUUAAUGGCCAUUUGCAAAGCCAGGCCAAGUUUAGUCUUCUACCAGCACUGAAGAAACACAUUUUUACCCAGAAGAAAUGAGGGUGAAAUCCUCUGAUAACUGGAAGAUGCUGGAUGUUCUGGAAAGAAAAGUAAUUUUUUUUUCAAUCUCUGGAAAUUGCUUUUUUUGUUUUAAGUAAGGGUGGCUCAGUAGAUGCUAACAGAGAAGCUGGGAUCAGCUAAUCUGGAGAAGAUUCUGAGAGAAUGAGUUGGGGAAGCUCACACUGAGAAAAUGAGAAGAUUGGUAGGAAGGGCGGUUUCUUGCUGUGUCCAAGAACAGGAAUUGAGAAAUGGUAUUAAGCUGAAGGUGAGAGGGGAACAAAGAAGACUUUGAAAGUUGCAUACAGGUUUGAAACAAAGUAUACCACAAGGAAUGGGAACAUGUAGAGCUGUUUUAAAAAUGUUUCUGUGUUUGUGUGAGUGUGUGUACUAGAUAUAUUUUUAAAAUGACUUUUCUCGGAAUUACAUCAUACUUUGAAGAUCAGCAUAGGAAGUGAAGAAGGAACAAAUAUUCACUGAGAGCAUUCACUAAGGGCCAGGAGCUCCCUGAAUACCACAUAUGCCACCGCUCUCUCUUGUGAUCCUGAAGGUCUGUGAGGCAGUUAUCACUAUGUAUGGUAUAUUUUCAAAGAAAGCAAAUAAAACCCAAUGUGACUAAGAAAGAUGCUAAAGUCAUACAGCUAAUUAGCUGUGGGUCCAGGAUUCAAACCAGUGCACCCAGCACAUGGUCUUCAAUAAAUAUUUAUUGAGCAGUGAAUACAUGAAUGAGUAAAUAAGAUGAAGCAAGCAAGCAAGCAGGUAGGCUUGUCUAACCCAAGUGUUCAUGUUCUAUCCUCUGUACUGGUGGUUUUUAAAUUGUGUGCCACAAAGGCCUUGGGUAACAUGAGGAGGGUUAGUAUGAGUGGCUGUCUAGCAGCAUGGGGCCCCAGGCUCCCUAUCUCUACUCCAACCAGGGCAUCUCUGCUUCUGUUUGUGUUAAACAUUGGGCUUUUGCCUGAGGUUUCAUUUGAAGAAGAGGGCCUUCUUCUAGAAAGUGUUUAUUACUCCUGCCCCAUGCCGUGUUCCCUCCUAAGUAUGCAUUAUGAACUAGUUAAGUUUAAUAAAGACAUAUAUUACUGUAAAGUUGGAAUUUAUACCAGUGUCUGAAUUCCAGUAGCAGCCCCCAUAUCUUGGUAAUCGAAAGCCAACUGUUUCUAAUAUCCGGCAUGCUGCUGAGGCCAUUAACAAUAGAUGAGCCAUCUAGGGCAUUAUGGCUAGCAGCCGGGACUACAACUUCAAGCUGUCUAGGUUCAACUGUGGCUCUGCCAUGACCUGGUGAAAUCUCAGGUAAAUGAUUCGACCUCUCCACACUUUAGCUUCCUCAUCCAUGAAAUGUGAUAGCUACCUUAUACAGCAUGGAAACUUUGUGCUCCAGUAAUAUGAAUGGGCUCACUAUAGCCAAGUGCACUUAGUUCCCUUGAUCUCACGUUUUUGUUUAUGCUGGCUCCCAACUUAAUGUGGUCUUCUCACUUUUCAUCUGACUGUGAAAACUCCAACCAAAGGUACUUAUAUUCCUCCCACUCAAUAAAUAUGAUGGCCUUGGUGUCAGUAAGGCGACAUGUGAAGAGAGAUAUCAGUCUGGCUUGCCAUACAUUACAAGAAUUUGCAGGCUUACCCUGACAGUCCUAGUCCAUGGGAGUGGGUGAUGGGGUACUAUUGUGUCACUGUCCGGGGUCCUGAAUAAUUAAAGAGUGCACAGUGGCUUUUACAAGAAUACUAAGAAUUAUUUAUUUGUUAAGGUAACACUAUCUGCUGUAGUAGGUAACCCUCUCUACCCCCAAAUCUGAGUAGCUUACCAUAUUAGAAGUCUUUUCCUGUUCUCAUAGGGUUCCAUUGGUGCUGGGGGUGAGGAGGGGAGGUGGUAAAGGGGUUUGUUCCACACAACCAUUCAGAGAUUCAUAUUGAUGAAGACGGCCAUCUUCAACAUAUAGUUUCCAGAGUUGUUCUGGGCUCAGUAUUUAGACUCCAGGUGGUAUAUCAGAGGAGAGAAGGAGAGUAGAGAACUGUGUGGCAGAUUUUUAUGAACCAGAUCUAGAAGGGACAUUCAUCACUGUCACUGGGAUGCUGUUAAUUAAAACUCGAGCAUACAACCAUUCCUAAGAAUAAAAGAGGCAGUGGGAUGUUGCUUAUUUGUGAGUUCAUUGGAAAAUCACUAGCUUGUUUUUGCCACAAAAUAUUUUUUAUGUUGUUACCCAAUACCCCCCCCCACUGAGACACACACACACACUCAACACAAAUACAACUAGAGCAAAAAAUUCAUUAAAUAAUCCUCUGUGUGUGAUAUAGUCUCAUAGUUUCUAUUCUAUUUUAUUGUUUUAAAGUGCUGUCAUGACCCAUUAAACUGUUAUUAUGGCUGAAUGAGUUUUGACUUAUUGUUUGGAAAACACUGCCCUAAGGUAUAACUGUUUCUCGUAAUCUUAGACAGUGAGAUAUUGCUAAUGAGGAGGAAAACUUCUCUUUUAAAAUCAUUUUCAAAUAAUUGCCAUUUCUAAUAAAUAAUUCGUAAUCAUCCGUGGGUAGAAUAUUAAAAUAAAGUUGUUAAGAAAUGGAAUAUUAAUUAAUAGAAAACCAGGAAGACUUCAGUCCAAUAUGGACAAGCAAGAUCUGCUGGCAAACGAGGAAAAUUGUGUAGGGAUUUGAGACAGGCCAAAUAAAUAGCAUUACUUUUUUCCCAUCUGAGUUUGGAACCACUGAGAAAUAGAGAAGAAAAAGCAGAUGGGCAUUCAAAUACUGGCUUUAUUACUGAUAAAGUUAAUAAUGAAAAAUAUGGCUUCCUAAUCCUAAACCUCAAACAGAGCUUACCUGCCCAGCCACAGGCAGUGCUAAGCAACUUCAGGCCUCCUGAUUGCAGCCUGCCCCUGAAAAACUUACAGUAUGAAGGAGCAAACAGGAAUGAUGAGUAGACCCCCCAAAAUAAGAGGCCAGUACUGACCACACUUUGACAGCCCCUCAUCCCAUAAUCACAAUUUAGAUCACUCCUCCUCCCCCUAAGGAGUUUGAAUGCGAGGGUGGGGAAGUGUGACGGAUGCCUCUCACAAGAAGCCAAGGGAGAGAAAGCUCUCCCCCAUAAACACCACCAGGCAGAGAUGGCAUGACAGCAAUGUCAUUAUCAAAUGAAGCCUAUCAAAGUGCUAUUCACUUUUCUCUGCUAUUUUCUAGAAAGACAAUACAUUUGCAAUUUUUAGACCAUCUUAAGCAAAUGGAACAAUGAUUUUUCAAAACUCACAUAUCUGAUUCCAUAGGCUUUUGUGGUUCUAUGCUAUUUCCGAGAAUGGGACAUGUCAUUCCUUCAGGAAGAUAAGUAGCGUACAUGCCACAUUCCCUCCCCUAACCCAGGUGCUGUAUUUAUGCCUUUCUGUUUUAGUUAUGGUUUAGGAUUUUUAGUUUAGGGUUUCUCAUAAUCUACUGGCUUACAAUGAUAUCUCACAGCUUCUACUAACCCAAGCAAUUCUUACGUUGGUAUCUGUGGGCAUCGAGUUUCUUCUUAUCUAACUCUGCCUCUUAAUGUUCCCAGCACAGCGUUUUGUACAUAAUAGAUUCUGGAACAGUCUUCCCUCAGAUCAUCACAGAACAGGGUUCCUCUCAUGAUUAAGCUCAAAUAUCACCUCCCCAGAGAGUCCUUUCUUGACCACCCAAAUGGAAGUAGCUGCAACCCCCAAAAUUAUGGCAUCAAUACUUUUAUAUGCUCAUAGCAUAUCAUAAUCUUUUUUCUUUUUACUUAUUUGCUUGUUUAUUUUCUGGCUCUUCCCACUAGAAUAUACAUGCAAUAGGAGCAGGUACUUUGCCUGUUAAUCCCCCUCUUUUACUCUCAGUGCCUACAGCAAUACCUGGCUCAUGGAUAAAAUUUAUACAAUUUUAAAAUGAAUGAAUAAAUGCAUAAUAAAAUUGAAAUUGGCAUUUCCCCAACUUUUACCCCCUUCUGGAUAGAGAGGGAAUGUUAGGUGAGGACUCAUGAGAGGCUAGUUAGACAGAGGGAGAGAAGAAAAACUUGGCAAAUGCUGGGUGUUUGCCUCAAAAAUCUCUGUUAGUUUUGGCAGCUACUCAAAGAAAGACACAGCACAGUGGCCCUGCAGCACUUGACUUUUCUGUAAUAGCUCUUCAGUAAUAAGAAGAAAACAACAUGCUUGUUAUUUAGCAGGCAAUUCUUUAGGUCAGAGAGAAACAACCCUACAUCAUUCUUAUUCCAAAAAGACCUGGCUGGGCAGGAGAGGAGGCCCCAAGGUCUGUGGGGCUCUGAAAAGCUACCCUUUUCAAGCGAUUUUGCCUAAAAUAUUUAGCAGGCAAUUAUUUAGGUCAGAGAGAAUCAACCCUACAUCAUUCUUAUUCCAAAAAGACCUGGCUGGGCAGGAGAAGAGGCCCCAAGGUCUGUGGGGUUCUGACAAGCUGCCCUUUUCAAGCAAUUUUGCCUGAUUCAGCAUAGGGAGUCCAGUUUAUAAAGUUGAUGAAUGAGGUUUGUUUAAAAAAAGAGUCAUGCCCUUAUCUAUAUAGCAGGGAAGCCCAUUCCCAGUAGACCUGAAUUCAGCUUAUAAGCUUGCCUGGGCUAGCUUAUGUGGCAAGUGAUGCAGAAAGAGCUUCAGUGAUGGAAUAUUUGCCACCUCUCCCACACCUCCACCCACUGGGUAAAGUUCUGUUCUGCUGGUUGACCCUGGGACAUUAUUAUUCAGAUUAGGAUGAUGAAUAGUGAGAAUGACAAGAGAAACUGGAUGGACAUAAUGUAUUUACCUCUAAGCUUGCAGAGAGUUAUAGGAAAAGGGAUAAACAACAACAACCAAAAAAUAAAAUAAAAUAAAAUAAAAUUUAAAAACCCUGUACAGGUUGUGUUUAUGAGUUUGGGAGACUUCAGAAUGAGGAAGGAGAGAAAGUAAAAGAGAAGAUGCCAUACAGGUUAGAGAGAAAAGGCAAGUUUAUAACUUGUUUUCUAAACAUUUGUUUCAUCAAGAUAUUGCAUAAAGUUUAAACUAUUUUAAU